UGGGACUUGCUCCUGAUGUUACGGCGGNNGGGUGAGUACACGUGGGUACCUGCCUGUAAGACUGGGAUAACUCCGGGAAACCGGGGCUAAUACCGGAUGGUUGUUUGAACCGCAUGGUUCAAACAUAAAAGGUGGCUUCGGCUACCACUUACAGAUGGACCCGCGGCGCAUUAGCUAGUUGGUGAGGUAACGGCUCACCAAGGCAACGAUGCGUAGCCGACCUGAGAGGGUGAUCGGCCACACUGGGACUGAGACACGGCCCAGACUCCUACGGGAGGCAGCAGUAGGGAAUCUUCCGCAAUGGACGAAAGUCUGACGGAGCAACGCCGCGUGAGUGAUGAAGGUUUUCGGAUCGUAAAGCUCUGUUGUUAGGGAAGAACAAGUACCGUUCGAAUAGGGCGGUACCUUGACGGUACCUAACCAGAAAGCCACGGCUAACUACGUGCCA
rnacentral:rRNA from 1 species